UUUAUGGAGAGUUUGAUCCUGGCUCAGGAUGAACGCUGGCGGCGUGCCUAAUACAUGCAAGUCGAGCGAACAGAUAAGGAGCUUGCUCCUUUGACGUUAGCGGCGGACGGGUGAGUAACACGUGGGUAACCUACCUAUAAGACUGGAAUAACUCCGGGAAACCGGGGCUAAUGCCGGAUAACAUGUUGAACCGCAUGGUUCUACAGUGAAAGACGGUCUUGCUGUCACUUAUAGAUGGACCCGCGCCGUAUUAGCUAGUUGGUGGGGUAACGGCCUACCAAGGCGACGAUACGUAGCCGACCUGAGAGGGUGAUCGGCCACACUGGAACUGAGACACGGUCCAGACUCCUACGGGAGGCAGCAGUAGGGAAUCUUCCGCAAUGGGCGAAAGCCUGACGGAGCAACGCCGCGUGAGUGAUGAAGGUCUUCGGAUCGUAAAGCUCUGUUGUUAGGGAAGA
rnacentral:rRNA from 1 species